UGGUGGGUAGUUUGACUGGGGCGGUCUCCUCCUAAAGAGUAACGGAGGAGCACGAAGGUUGGCUAAUCCUGGUCGGACAUCAGGAGGUUAGUGCAAUGGCAUAAGCCAGCUUGACUGCGAGCGUGACGGCGCGAGCAGGUGCGAAAGCAGGUCAUAGUGAUCCGGUGGUUCUGAAUGGAAGGGCCAUCGCUCAACGGAUAAAAGGUACUCCGGGGAUAACAGGCUGAUACCGCCCAAGAGUUCAUAUCGACGGCGGUGUUUGGCACCUCGAUGUCGGCUCAUCACAUCCUGGGGCUGAAGUAGGUCCCAAGGGUAUGGCUGUUCGCCAUUUAAAGUGGUACGCGAGCUGGGUUUAGAACGUCGUGAGACAGUUCGGUCCCUAUCUGCCGUGGGCGCUGGAGAACUGAGGGGGGCUGCUCCUAGUACGAGAGGACCGGAGUGGACGCAUCACUGGUGUUCGGGUUGUCAUGCCAAUGGCACUGCCCGGUAGCUAAAUGCGGAAGAGAUAAGUGCUGAAAGCAUCUAAGCACGAAACUUGCCCCGAGAUGAGUUCUCCCUGACUCCUUGAGAGUCCUGAAGGAACGUUGAAGACGACGACGUU
rnacentral:rRNA from 1 species